rnacentral:lncRNA from 1 species
GAAUCGGUCAGUUUGUCAAGCAGGCAGCGUCGCUAGUAGUCCAGUCCUGGCCGCUCAGGCCUCCCUGGGGAGUUACUGCUACUACCGUCUUAUCUUGGAAAUUGUGGAGUCUAAAUAAGCUGGCGUUCCAAGAGUUUCGACUUUGACAUUUCGUCUUGCACAAAUGCUUGCGGAUUCGUUUGCAGAUUAUGGCUUCAAGGUUGUUUUUUUACACCUUCACUGGGCCUGGAAAACAUUCCUAAAGGAUUCUGGCUGUCCACUAAGGGGAAGCGAAAUGGCCCGGCUUCUCUUUCCCGUCUGCCAACAAGCCGAGGAACGCCGCCCGAGCCUUCUGCUACCGUUCUUGCUUUUCUCUCCUUCCCACCCCCUCCACCGUCCCUCCGGCCAGGCCGGGUUUGGAAUCCCCCUCCGGGUGAGUGACCCACGCUACUCGUGGCACAAAGGAGUCAAGCGUUCAUCAGUUCAGCAAACACAUGGGACCCUGGUUGGGAGACGUCCAAAAGGACGUGGCCAAGACGUGUGAAUCUGAAGCUCGGGGGGAGCGGUCCUUGCUGGAGCCAUAGGUGCGGGGGGAGAGGGUGGGCCACGCUGACCUUGGGAAGAUGGACUCCGUAGAUGGAGAAGUCGGAAUAGAAGGAAAGCCAGCAGCGAAGCUGCCACCGAGGCCAAAGGAGCCGAGAUGUGCAAAAAGAGGGGAAAAUCGGUAAAGUCAAAUUAUGGUCUAGCAAGGGAAAGUGGUAAAGCGUCCAUGGAUUCGGCCACCUGCAGGCUCCUGGUGACCUUGAACUAGACUGGACAAGAGGGCUUCCCUCCCUGCGCUCUGGCAGAGAGGCCUUUCGGGCCACAGACACGUCCAGGAUCCCUACGCAAUAGGACAGCCUCUGUCCCAAUUCCUGGCUGCCCAGGGCUUCGGAAAUCAGAGUCAGCGACGGGAAAACAUUUUGCAAUAUUAAACCAUCGAGCCUACUCUUAAAUUUACGUAUAUGUACAUCUACAUAUAACAUUCGUUAAGCCUCAUCCCAAUUCUGGACAUUAAAUGCUAG